rnacentral:rRNA from 1 species
GUGGGGAAUCUUGCGCAAUGGGCGAAAGCCUGACGCAGCCAUGCCGCGUGAAUGAUGAAGGUCUUAGGAUUGUAAAAUUCUUUCACCGGGGACGAUAAUGACGGUACCCGGAGAAGAAGCUCCGGCUAACUUCGUGCCGGCAGCCGCGGUAAUACGAAGGGGGCUAGCGUUGCUCGGAAUUACUGGGCGUAAAGGGCGCGUAGGCGGACAGCUUAGUCAGAGGUGAAAGCCCAGGGCUCAACCUUGGAAUUGCCUUUGAUACUGGCUGUCUUGAGUUUGGGAGAGGUGAGUGGAACUCCGAGUGUAGAGGUGAAAUUCGUAGAUAUUCGGAAGAACACCAGUGGCGAAGGCGACUCACUGGCCCAAUACUGACGCUGAGGCGCGAAAGCGUGGGGAGCAAACAGGAUUAGAAACCCGGGUAGUCC